rnacentral:rRNA from 1 species
CCCUAGUGGCGGACGGGUGAGUAACGCGUGGGUAACCUGCCAUAUACAGGGGGGUAACACUUAGAAAUAGGUGCUAAUACCGCAUAAGCGCACAGGGGCGCAUGCCCCGGUGUGAAAAACUCCGGUGGUAUAUGAUGGACCCGCGUCUGAUUAGCCAGUUGGCAGGGUAACGGCCCACCAAAGCGACGAUCAGUAGCCGGCCUGAGAGGGCGGACGGCCACAUUGGGACUGAGACACGGCCCAAACUCCUACGGGAGGCAGCAG